AUUGAACGCUGGCGGCAGGCCUAACCCAUGCAAGUCGAACGAGUGGCGGACGGGUGAGUAAUGUCUGGGAAACUGCCUGAUGGAGGGGGAUAACUACUGGAAACGGUAGCUAAUAACGCAUACCAUCAGAUGUGCCCAGAUGGGAUUAGCUAGUGGGUGGGGUAACGGCUCACCAAGGCGACGAUCCCUAGCUGGUCUGAGAGGAUGACCAGCCACACGGGAACUGAGACACGGUCCAGAUUCCUACGGGAGGCAGCAGUGGGUAAUAUUGCACAAUGGGCGCAAGCCUGAUGCACCCAUGCCGCGUGUAGGAAGAAGGCCUUCGGGUUGUAAAGUACUUUCAGCUGGGAGGCGUUACCCGCAGAAGAAGCACCGGCUAACUCCGUGCCAGCCGCCGCGGUAAUUC
rnacentral:rRNA from 1 species